rnacentral:lncRNA from 1 species
AUAGUUUCAAUUUAUGAUAAAAGACUUUGAAAUGAAUGGUUUCCUUUCUGAGAACCAGAUGAAUCUACAAUAUGACAAAGGGUUAUUAUAUAGAUUUUUGAUAAUUAUUUUUCACUGAUUAAAGUACUAAUUAAAUGUGAUCAUAAAAAGGAAUCAGCAUGGAAAGAAUCAGAGGUCCAUCGCAAGCCAUAAACUCAUAAAUCCAAUUUCCUAGAUUCUGUGGUGUAUUUAUUCCCCACCCCAGGCCAGGACGCCAUUCCAUUGCAGGAUUACAACUUUUCCCCAGCUAAGUAGACAGGAACAACAUACAAUUAAGUGCUUUGCUCAAGAACACAAUGUAUCGCCUAGUCCAGGAAUUGAAACUACAAUCUUGUGAUCAUAAGUGCAAAACCUAACCUCUAAGCUACAUACCUCUACAAUUAAAUGUGAUGGAAUGUCAGAAAUAGUAGGGCGCCUGGCUAACUAUCUUUCAGCAGUUAUUUUUGCAUUGUUACCAAUUUUUUAGUUCAAAUCCCCAAGGAAUCAAUUUAACCGUUUAUUUGAUUAAGGACUUGAUAAAAAUAAGCAUUUAUUUUCUAUAGGGACUGGACCUUUGUUCUAUAAAUCUGAGGCUUUGUGCUCAUGUUAAAAAAGGAGCAGUAAUAUUUCUGGGAAUACCAAAAACAAAUAUUAAGGAUCUGUUCAUCUUUUGCCCGAUUUAUUUUUGAUAUGGUUCAAAGAGAGUGUGUGUAUGAUGUGUGUGUGUGUGUGUGUGUAUUUUGAUAAUAGAAUAGAUGUGUUCAUGUAAAUGAUAGGAUGUGUGUGUGUUAUGUUGGUUGUAAUGUAGGCUGGUGUUAGAUAUAGAUACCAACACUGAUGUGACAACAGUUUUCUCCCAAGCAAUGCACCACUUCACCUAACAUCAAAACCCUGUACUUGGGCAGGUAUUAGGGCCCUGCUCUACUAUGCCAAAACCUUACAUGUUAGCACAGGUUGGCAGUCGAUUAAAUCAUUUCCAGUGCUUUAUUGAUACCUAAUUUUAUAAACCCUCAGAGGAUUAUCAAGCAAAGUUGACCUUGGUGGGAUUUGAACUUACAAUGUAAAGAAUUAAAUCAAAUACUACAAGGCAUUUUGUCUAUCAAUUCUGAUAAUUCCCUACUUCAGUAUCCAGAUAUUAGAAACAUAGUAUCUAUCAUUUCUUGUUUUCUUUUAUUCAAUUAUCAUUGUUGUUCUUCUGAUCUAAAUAUACAGGGUUCAAACAAACCACUAACAAAUAAUAAUAAUAAUAAUAAUAAUAAUAAUAAUAAUAAUAACAGCAAUCCUUUCUGCUGAAGGCACAAGGCCUAAAAUUUUGGGAGAGGAGACAAGUCGAUCAUGUCAACCCCAAUCUUUCACUGGUACUUAAUUUAUUGACCCUUAAAUGAUGAAAGACAAAGUCGAACUUGGCAGAAUUUGAACUCAGAACAUAAGGAGUUGGAAUAUCAUAUGGUAUUUUUUCUGAUGCUUUAGUGAUUCUACAAGUUCACUGUCUUAACCAAAAAUAAUAAUAACGGUUUCAAAUUUUAGCACAAGACCGGCAGUUUUUGAGGGGAGAGGGAAUUCAAUUACAUCAACCCCAGUAUUUGACUAGACCUUAUUUCAUUAACCACUCCUCCACAAAAUGAAUGAAAGGAAAAGUUGAUCUCAGUGGAAUUUGAACUCAGAAUGUAAAGACGGACAAAGUAAUACUAAGCUUUUCGCUGGGCAAGCUAACAGUUCUGCCAGCUUCCUGACUCAAUAAUAAUAAUGAUAAUAAUACUAUAAUCCUUUCUACUGGAAGCACAAGGCCUCAGAUAUGGGGAAGGGAUUAAGUCGAUUGCAUCAACCCCAGUACAUAACUGGUACUUAUUUAAUUGACCUCAAUAAUAACACCAAAAUGAUGAUGAUGAUGAUGAUGAUGACGAUGGCAAUUUCUUUCAUUGGCCACAAGGGCCCAAAACAUGGAGGACAAUAGCAAAGGAGAAGUUACAGUAAACAAAAACAAAAAAAAUACAAAAAUAAUUGUUCCUAGUUUAAACACAAGGCUAGCAGUUUUGAGAGGAGGGUGUUAGUCUAUACCAUCAAGUCCAAUAGUUGACUCGUGCUUUAUUUUAUCGACCCACCCUCUAGAAGGAAUAAAGGACAAAAAUGACCCUAGCACAAUUUGAACUUGGAAUCUAAAGAGUUAAAACAAAUAUUUUUUUUUUUAUUAUUUUCUGAUGUUCUGACAAUUCUGUUCACUUGCUGCUUUCUUGAUGCUCUCACAUUUCUGCCAGCUUGUCACCUUUCAGACACUUUAAUGCUUCUGCCAACUUGCCGCCUGGACAAUCUUCUCACAAUUUUGCCAACUCACCAAUAAUAAUAAUAAUAAUAAUAAUAAUUAUAAUAAUAAUAAUAAUAAUAAUGAUAAAAUUGAUAACAAUAACGAUUAUAGAUAAUUUCUUAAUUGAAUCCAUUUUUUAAAAAAAUGUUAUUGUUAUGUUAAUUUGUUUCUUCUGUUGUUGUUGUUGUAGCUGUUGUUAUUAUGUUUAAAGUUACUGCUGUAUUUGCUUCAGUUCCCAGUAUACGGUUAAUAUUGUUACACCACCACCACAUUCACUGUUUUUGAAUGUAGCCAUAACCAAAACCACAACUACCCACAAAAACAACAUCAUGAGCCAACAAGGAAUCCUCUACAUAGUUAUGCAACCAACUGGAAAAAAAACAGCCAUAUCUCAAAUCACACCCCAUUAUCUAAGAAAAAGAAAUGUUGGUUAAUGUGCUCCUACAUUCCCUGUUCAUAUGGAACAGAUAGGACAGUCACAGUUGGAUUACAUUUUAUCAUAAUCUGCUCAAUUAGGGAUAACCUAGGGCUGAAUAAGCCAAUAGCAACACUAAUAACCAAGGAGCUCCUGCUUAGCCACACAGUUAGUUGGAAAUAGCAGCUAAAUUUUUCUCAAAUCCUACACACAUUACUGUUUUAACUGAAGAAGAAUUUAUGGAAAAUAUAAUCACAGCUAUACAGAAGGGUGUGACAGGAAAUACUUUACACAGCUAUUGAUGUGAUGCAAGUAAAGCUGGCGAGAUAUUCUUUUCUACUCUAGGCACAGGGCCUGAAAUUUUUGGGGAGGGGACCAGUUGAUUAGAUCUACCCCAGUACACAGCUGGUACUUAACUUAUUGACCCUGAAAGGAUGAAAGGCAAAGUCAACCUCAGUGGAAUUUGAACUCAGAAUGUAAAAACAAACGAAAUACCUAUUUCUUUACUACCCACAAGGGGCUAAACACAGAGAGGACAAACAAGGACAGACAAAUAGAUUAAGUCGAAUAUUUUGACCCCAGUGCGUAACUGGUACUUAUUUAAUCGACCCCGAAAGGAUGAAAGGCAAAGUCGACCUCAGCAGAAUUUAAACUCAGAACAUAGCGGCAGACGAAAUACGGCUACACAUUUCGCCCGGCGUGCUAACGUUUCUGCCAGCUCCCCACUCCUGCCUUUAAAACUGGUCAGAUAUUAAGAAUGUUUGCAUGGCACUAAUAUUUUAUUGGUUGUGAAAGCAUGUGGCUUAGUGGUUAGGAGAUUCAGUUCAUGAUCACAAAGUCGUGAGUUCAAUUCCUGGCGGAGUAUUGUGUCCUUGAGAAAGAUGCUUUAUUUCACGUUGUUCCUGUCCACUCAGCUGGCAAAAAUGAGUCAUACCUGUAAUUCAAAAGGCCAGCUAACUCACAUUCUGUAUCAUGCUGAAUGUCCCCAAAAGCUACGUUAAGGUUUUGCAUGCCUGUGGAGUACUCAGCUACUUGAUGUUGAUCAGAUCAACCGGAAUACCCAUUGUAAAUGAGAGCACCAGUAUUAGUUAUUGUUUUAGUAUUAGUUAUUUUAUUGUUUUUGUUUUGGUUACUAUUACGGCUCAAACCAAGGCACAUCCUAUGUUAACUCUUUAAAUGUUUAUGAAGUAUGAUGAAUCUGGGAGAGGUAUCUUGUCAGAAUCUUUAUAAAAAGAAAGAAGAAUUGCAUGUGGAAUGUAAUUGAUCAUAGAUGUGUUUCUUCAGAGUUGGCAUGGAAUUAGACAGUAACACCAACAACAGCAAAAAAAAUUCAAUAUUGUAUAACUAUUAAACCAAUCAACUCAUUCAUUUUGUUUAAACAAAUAGAUUUACCUCUGUAUGGUUGUUCUAUCAGCUAGAAAUUACAGUCAAAUCUCCUUUAAACUAUACUUUACCAAAGACAAUUUGAAUAACAUGAUGCUGGAUACUCCGUAGAUAGGAAAUGUUGUGAUGGACAUGGGUGGAAUGGAGUGCUUAUGGUCAAAGGUAUCAUUCAUCUGAAGCUAAACAACAACAAUACUUUAUAACUGAUAGCUACUACAUAUAUCUUGGUACUCAUUACCUCAUACUCUUCUAUAACAAACACUUCCAUCAUUCCCUUUGGUACUCUCACAACAAAAGCAGCAGACUCUACAGAGUCUAAUCAUUUUUAUCUAUCCCCAAUGGAAGCAAUUAUGUUAUGCCAUUGCCUGCAGCCUGCAGUUGGAUUUCCUCAUUGUCAACAAUAUUUCUAAUGCUUCUGAAAUGCUGGGGUCAUUUGCUAAAGAAUCUGAUAAAUGUGAAGAAAGAGGAGUUGAGAAUUUGGUCCCUGACAGUGUUUGCUCUUCAAAGUCCCUUUACUGAUGUCACAACUGUGUAAAAACAAAAGGAGACCUGCUCAAUUUUAGUGCCACCAUCUAUCAUGGAGUAUGCCUCAAUAUCUUCUCGUGGUACUUCAGGGGUGAUGAUCAUCAGUGAUUUCAAUCCCAUACAUGACCAUCACUGCUUAAAUCAUCAUCAUUUAACAUUUAAUGUUCCAUGCUGAGAUAGACUGGGUCGUUUGUCAGGAUUAGCUGAGACAGGACUGUGUCAUGUUCCAAUGACUACUUUGGUCUAGUUUUUAUAGCUGGUUGCCCUUCCUAAUGCCAUCCACUUUAUAGAGUAGACUGGGUACCUUUUUCAUAGCAUCAGCACUUGGAAAAAUCAGCUAGUAACUCACAAGGCUAGGGGGCCUAAAGUAACCCCUACAACUGAUGGAAAACAGAAAAGUGAAGGAGCAAUGAUUCAAGGUGAACUCAUAAGGGAAGAUCAGUAAGAUGAGAGAUACAGAUUCAUAGUCAUGAGGGGUAGUAGAGGAGAGAGUGACAGGGUCGUAGAGUAGCAUUAGGUAUUAAUUGUGGAGUGAGUAUGGCAGGGAACAGGGAUAAGGGUAGAGAUUAAUGUUAGAGGUUAUUGAGAAAUAGGGACAGAAUCAAAAGGUGAUGCGAUGGGCUGUGUUGGGAGUUCUCGAACUAUCUUGUAUUAUGAGGGUAAGAAUGAAUGAAUGGUAUGAAGGGAAAGAGGACAGGAAGGGAGUAGUAGACUAGGGUGGAGAAGAAUCCUAGGAGGGUCACCAAAAGAAAGAGAAAUGUGGGAAUUGUGGGGAGAGGAGAAUGAGUAAAGGCUAGAGGAGGAGUAAAGAUAAGCAGAGAUGUUGAGGAAGUGGAAAAACUGUGGAGAAAGGACAGUGAGAGAAAAGGGGUCAGAGGAUGAGAAAAGGGGUUAACAUAGGGAUUCUAUGGGUUUUAUUGAUAAUUUUUAAUUGAUUAAAAUAUUAAUUAAAUGUGAUGGAAUACCAAAAACUGCAGAGCACCACGCUGAAUAUCGUUUUAUGGUUAUUUUUACAUCUUCACCAUUUUUUAUUCCCAUCCUCUUGGACUGGAACUUCACAAUUCAUUCUUCUUGGGAGGAAAUCCAUAAAAAUAACAUUGGAAUUGUGUAAGAACUGAAUCUCUGCCUUACAAAUUUGAGCCCUUAAAUAUUUCUUCAGCCUUUAUCAACAGCAACAACAACAACAACAACAAUAAUAACAACUGCAAUAUGUUUGAGUGAACAAAGCCAUGUUUAACUAAUUGCUUGGCCAACAAGAAAUAACAGUUUUAUUCCCUCAAUUAAUUUAAUCCAUUUUUAUUUUUUAAUUCUGCUGUUGUUAUUUUGUUUUUUGCUUCUGUAGUUGUUGUUGUAGUUGAUGUUGUUGUAUCUAUAUCUAUUUCUAAUCCCAGUAAGCUGUUAAUUUUGUCAUGCCCAAUCUACUAUUGUUAACUAACACCAUCAACACCACCACCACCACCACCACCACCACCACCAUCACUAGCACCCUCAUCGCCAUCCUCCACCAUCUUCAAAAGCCAGCAAUGGAGCCUCAGCAUGUAUGCUCAACCUGCUAGAAAAAGCAGCCAACUCUCCCUCAAAUAACACACCAUCAUCUUAAAGAAGAAGAUAUAUAAUGUUGUUCUAUAUACACCAACAAAAAAUAAAAGAGUGUAUAGAAUGCAUAAAAUACAUUCGAAUAUUCUAUAUACUCCAAAAAAGGAAAGAGUAUAUAAGUUAUAGAAUGUUGUUUUAUACAUCCUUAAAGAGGCUGGAUAGACAACAGUGGAAUUCCUUUGUUCGUCAAUCUCAUCAUUCAGAACUAACCUGGAGCUUAACAACAACAACAACAACAGCAACAAUAACAACAACAACAGCGGCAACAACAAGAACACGACCACCAACAACAACAGCAGUUACAACUAUUACUGCAAUAUGUUCCCCUCUCAAGAGUCCUUCAAAUCAUUCUGUUCGCAGAAGAAUAAAUGGUUUUCUUACCCACCUACAUAAUCGCAGACCGCAAUCACCUAACACACUCUGCUUUUGUACUCACCAGCAUUACUAUUCGAUUCCUUAACAACAACACCAACAACAACAACAACUACUACUACUACUACUACUACAACAACAACAACAUCUGCGUCACAACUAUGGCCCUCAGCAGUAAUCAUAUUUCUUCGACAAUAUCUAUAAUUUUAGCAUGAUUGAUUGUUUCGCUGUUUCUCAAGACAUUCUCUCCAUGGUACUACCAAAACGUGUCUACCAGCAAGCAGCAAGACUCGUACAGUACCAACAUAGACAUCAUACUACAUCAAAUGCAUCUAUUUUUAAUAAAUAUCUUCGUUUUUUGUUGUUAUUGUUGUUGGUAUUUUACUGUGUAGUAUUCUCCAACAUUCAGUGGACAAAUCUUGUAAUCUCAUCAUGAAAUAUAGAAGAUAGAUGACAAUGAUGAGGACAAUGAUGAUGGUUGUUAUUAUUAUUAUUAUUAUUAUUAUUAUUAUUAUUAUUGUUAUUACGGCAAUGAGCUAGCAGAAUUGUUAGUAUGUUUAAUGGAAUUUUGUCCAUCUUUACGAUGUGAGUUCAAAUUCCGCCGAGGUCAGCUCUGUCAUUCAUUCUUUGUCGAGUACUGGGGUCAAAGUAAUUGGCCUUUUCCACCCGAACUUGCUAGCAUUGUGCCAAAAUUUGAAACCAUUAUUAUCAUUAUUAUUAUUAUUUUUUUUUUUUAAUUAUUUUUAUUAUUAUUAUUAUUAUUAUUAUUAUUAUUAUCAUUAUUUUCAUGAUUAUUAUUAUUAUUAUUUAAGCAAUUAAUUCAUAUCUUAUGAAUUCUAAUUAUAAUUUAUGGAAUUUAAAUGUUCCUUCUCCAAAUUUAGAAUCUGUU